rnacentral:lncRNA from 1 species
GAAUGUUUUGAAAAUACAUCAAAAGAUGACCGGAGUGGGACUUAAAAAAGAAAAAUGUUUCUACAGAACUAUAUUGUUGUUUACGGUAAUAACCUCUUGUUCAUUUUUUACCUAUUUUUGCAAUUUAGUUUUUAAAUGUUUGCGUUUAAGGAAUUUUCUUUUCUUUCAUAAUGAAAUUGUGACUUUUUUUAACUAAAACAAAGGUCGGGUUUGAGCUUUGUGGAUCUGUGGAUGUUAGACUGUCUCACUUCAGGGUGAAGACGUUCUUCUUCUUCUUGUAGCCGUUGGUGACGUCGCAUUGGCAGUGGGAGAGGCUGAGCAUCGGCUCGUUGUUGUAGGGCGUCGCCGUGUUCUUGGCGUCCUUGUAGAAUCCCAGCUCCCCCUUGUUCAGCACACAGUACAGGUUGACCCACGAUCUGCUGCAGUGGGGGGGUGGGGCAGGAGAAGAGGGAAAGUGGAGAAUGAGGGCGGGGCGGGGAGUGACGCGCAAGGGGAAGGCGGGGAUGGGGAGGGGCGGAGAUCGGGAAGAGUCAAGAGGAGCUGCCAAGUCACUGCUGCUAAGCUAACACCUCACUCACCUGACCAGAGCAGACAGGUAGGUAGGCAGGAUGGACCAGCCCCAAGAAGGGAGGAGGAAACACACUGCUGAACAAACACAGAUGAACGCACGAACGCACGGAUGACCACACGGAGGAGGCUCUCGAUGUCCAGCUUGCGGAACAGGAACCCCUCGUGGUGGGCCGUGUGGGUUGGAGGCUGCGGGACCGCCGGGCUGCUCUGGGCCGGAGCGGACCUGGACCGCCGCGUGGUCUCUCCCGGCUCUUUGGGUCGUGGCCUUCGUCUGGGCUUGGGUCGGUCCCGCGCUCGGGGCCGGUCUGGACGGGAAGACUUCUCUGGGAAACCAUUGGGCAGACGGGGGACCUCGCCACGAGCCUGUGGGGUCAAAGAUUCAGAUCAAAGCAGGAAGCUGCUCUACAAUCUCUGCCAUGGUGGUUCUCUUUUCUCUGCAGAAAAGCAGAAGAUAAAGUCAAAAGUACUGAGGAUCAGAUCAGAGGAACUCCCAGUGCCUGUCCCACUUCUCGGUGAGCUCACGCUGCUUCGCGAUCACCUUGUCCAGCUUCUCCUUGAUCUGAAAAUGAAAGCAUCAGUUUUCUAGCUCAGCCAGGAAUGUCAACGCUGCGACGGCAGCUGCAGCUUCCUCUGACCUCCUCGGCGGCGGGAUUCCGGGCAGCCAGCAGCAUCUUUCCCAUCUCGAUACAUUCCAGGACGCUCUGGCUGCGAGCUUCCACUUCGCUCUUCAGGCUUUGGUGAUAGUUCAUGAGGACUUCCACUGAGGACACGUCCCUGCAGGAGACAGUAAAGACCAGUGACUUCUGCUGACCUAAAGCUAUUCUUCAUAAUGUUUGGGGUCAAACGAAAACAACUCAGAAAGUCUGGACUGAUUUAACCAUCAGCAUUAUAAUUAUUUAUUGAAAUUAUUUAAAUUUAAAGCUGACAUGCACCUAUAGGGAGAUAUAUAUUCAUCCUAUUUAAUUAAAGGAGACGUAUUUUUCAUAGAAAGCUUCAAUUCACAAGUUUCUUUGAAAAAGGAGUAAGUCAGAUUAGUUUUUCUGCAUUUUUUUUUGACUGAACAGUUUGGAUUAUGGUUUUAAAAUGUAACUUUGUCACUUUUAAAUUGUCGCACUUAAACUAAAUGGGAAAACCGGAACAGCUUUCCUAGACUUCUCCUUGAAAAAGUCAAAAUACAUUUAACUCCAGAAC